AGUGAACGCUGGCGGUAGGCCUAACACAUGCAAGUCGAACGGCAGCACAGUAAGAGCUUGCUCUUACGGGUGGCGAGUGGCGGACGGGUGAGGAAUACAUCGGAAUCUACUUUUUCGUGGGGGAUAACGUAGGGAAACUUACGCUAAUACCGCAUACGACCUACGGGUGAAAGCAGGGGAUCUUCGGACCUUGCGCGAUUGAAUGAGCCGAUGUCGGAUUAGCUAGUUGGCGGGGUAAAGGCCCACCAAGGCGACGAUCCGUAGCUGGUCUGAGAGGAUGAUCGGCCACACUGGAACUGAGACACGGUCCAGACUCCUGCGGGAGGCAGCAGUGGGGAAUAUUGGGCAAUGGGCGCAAGCCUGAUCCAGCCAUACCGCGUCGGUGAAGAAGGCCUUCGGGUUGUAAAGCCCUUUUGUUGGGAAAGAAAAGCAGCAGGUUAAUACCCCGCUGUUCUGACGGUACCCAAAGAAUAAGCACCGGCUAACUUCGUG
rnacentral:rRNA from 1 species